rnacentral:rRNA from 1 species
UGAGGAAUAUUGGUCAAUGGACGCAAGUCUGAACCAGCCAAGUAGCGUGCAGGAUGACGGCCCUAUGGGUUGUAAACUGCUUUUAUAUGGGGAUAAAGUGGGGAACGUGUUCCCUUUUGCAGGUACCAUAUGAAUAAGGACCGGCUAAUUCCGUGCCAGCAGCCGCGGUAAUACGGAAGGUUCGGGCGUUAUCCGGAUUUAUUGGGUUUAAAGGGAGCGUAGGCCGUUUGGUAAGCGUGUUGUGAAAUGUAGGAGCUCAACUUCUAGAUUGCAGCGCGAACUGUCAGACUUGAGUGCGCACAACGUAGGCGGAAUUCAUGGGGUAUCGGUGAAAUGCUUAGAUAUCAUGAAGAACUCCGAUUGCGAAGGCAGCUUACGGGAGUGUUCCUGACGCUUAAGCUCGAAGGUGCGGGUAUCGAACAGG